rnacentral:sRNA from 1 species
GCUGGGUGUAGUGGUGAAUGCCUGUAAUCCCAGUAACUCUGAGGUAGGAGGCUGAGGUAGGAGGAUCACAAUUUUAAGACCAGCCUCAACAAAUUAGCAAGGCCCUAAGAAAUUUAUUGAGACCCUGUCUCAA